UACUACGUCGUCGCGCACUUCCACUACGUGCUGUCGCUGGGCGCCGUGUUCGCGAUCUUCGCAGGCUGGUACUACUGGUUCCCGAAGAUGUUCGGUUACAUGUACUCGGAGACCAUCGCCAAGCUGCACUUCUGGGUGACCUUCAUCGGCGUCAACCUGAUCUUCUUCCCGCAGCACUUCCUCGGCCUGUCCGGCAUGCCGCGCCGCUACAUCGACUAUCCGGACGCUUUCGCGGGCUGGA
rnacentral:misc_RNA from 1 species